rnacentral:tRNA from 1 species
GGUCCCAUAGCUCAGCCGGAGCAUCUGACUCAUAAUCAGUCCCCAACGAGUUGGGGAUGGUUCGAGCCCAGGUGGGACCA